GAACGGUCAAUGAUCAUCACCAUGAUUAGUGAAAUCUGGAGUCAUUCCGACGGAAAGCAAGAGAAAUAUGCAGAUCAGGGAGUAAAAAAACGGUAGCAGACGCACAUCAACAACAUACUUCGAUUGAUUUUCGAUGGCUCCACUCAAGUUCAAGAAUCAAUUACUUCACAAACAAAGAGAAAGAAUCAGAACUUUCCCAAACAGAAGGCGAGAGAAUUCAAUGAAAAGAUAACUUCUCUUUCUUUGCCAUUAUUGUUGAUAUACAAUUUAGAACGUGAAAUUGUGUACAGUGACUUGAAUGCUGGUCUGCUAUGGUUGCUAUGGUUGAGAUCAAUGUAUGUUUACUUCAAAUGAAUAUACCUUUAUCAUUUUGGGGCUAGAUUAAUCAAUGAAUGUUAUAUAGGCAAGCACAUAUCAAUCACGCACAUAAAGUGUGUGAUAAUAUGCUUCAAUGAAAUCAGAACAUCAAGUUAGUGUUAUGCGUGCAUCAGUGACCCCCACUAUUCUAUUGAUUAAUGUGAUACAUUGACUUGAGUUCACCUA